rnacentral:rRNA from 1 species
AGUGGACGCUGGCGGCGUGCUUAACACAUGCAAGUCGAACGAGAACGGAACAUAGCUUGCUAUAUUUGUCAGCUAAGUGGCGCACGGGUGAGUAAUGUAUAGAUAACCUGCCCUUAAGAAAGGAAUAACAGUUGGAAACGACUGCUAAUGCCCUAUAUGCCUUUAAUACAUAAGUAUGCAAGGGAAACGCUUUGGUGCUUAAGGAUGGGUCUGUAUGGUAUCAGCUUGUUGGUGAGGUAAUGGCUCACCAAGGCUAUGACGCCUAACUGGUUUGAGAGGAUGAUCAGUCACACUGGAAAUGAGACACGGUCCAGACUCCUACGGGAGGCAGCAGUGGGGAAUAUUGCACAAUGGACGAAAGUCUGAUGCAGCAACGCCGCGUGGAGGAUGACACAUUUCGGUGCGUAAACUCCUUUUAUAUAGGAAGAUAAUGACGGUACUAUAUGAAUAAGCACCGGCUAACUCCGUGCCAGCCGCCGCCGUAAUAC